UUUCGCGUUUCCAGCCUUCUUGCAUGGAGUGGAAGGAGUCCCGUGGCAUUUCCCGUAGGACCUGUGCCUCUAGCGCCUCCAGCUGCUUCAGGAUGGAGGCGAAGUCGGGCCUACGGCUGCAGCAGCAGAACUGGGGAAGAAGUGGCGCAGGACUUAUGGGUCUCACUAAAUUGCCUAGGCUGGCCUUGAACUUGCAAUGAUCCUGCCUCAGCCUCCUGAGCAUCAGGGAUUACAGGUGCCAGCUUCCUCUUCUCCUGGCAUCUUCUACACUUGGAGCUCUAGGCCAGACAGAAGCUGAUCCAGCUGCCCAUCUCUCCUGGUGCCCACACUCUCAACAGCCUUCACUGAGCCUAGGAGCCGACAAACUUUCCUGCAACUUCUCUGAAUUGAGACAACGACCUCAAAAUCCAUCCAUUCCUCUGAGCUGCCUUGGGGUUGAGUCCCACACAGUUAAUAAAGCUGAGGAUGACAACAAAACUAUCUCAGAGGGUCAACACGAAUAUCAAACCAGUUAUGGAUUUUCAAAGUCUUCGCUGGAGGUCUGACAGCUGGCAGAUGUGUUGGACAUGCUCGUUGCCCUGGAGGUGCUGUGCUCACAUCUGUCACACUCUCCUCUGCCCUGGGUCACUCCUUACUUCCAGCUUCACUGCAGCCUCUUGUCUGACUGAGGGAGGCUCAGCACAAGUUAAUCUGAGGAGGACCCAAGACAGGAUAGGGCAGGAGAAGAGCCUGAGGCCUGCUCCCUCUGGAGGACCAGCCCUUGAUGCCUCUUGGCCAGGUCUCUGGCUGCACAUGGGACACCACAGACUGGCAAGGUGCUUUCUGUACCACAACUCGGGAGGGACCAGUCUCCCCUUUUUCAAUUGGGGAAUCUGAGGCCCGGAGUGGGACAACUCACUCCAAAUCUGAGAACUUCUUGUAAUCAUGAUCUUUUUGCUACCCCCAA